CUUUGCAAAAGAAAGCUGGAGCAGGCUGUUGCAACUGGGCCGGAUCGGGUAGGAUCUUCAAAUGGGCUGAUGCUUGGGUCUCUGAACGGGCUGAGAGGAUCCAGUUCCUUAAUGUCCAAAACUACACCGUUUUUACCUUCUAUAUAAUCCAAUAUCAGACUCCUCUUUUUUUGUUUUCUCAUUUUCUGCUUCCCUCUCUAAUCUUUUUUUUUCUCUCACUUUUCUCUAAUAAGUUUUCCCAAAAAUAAAGAAAAACCCAAGGACACCGGCCAAUCUUCAAACUGUCCCAAGAAACUGACGAUGCUUCUCCGCUGCCGCCGUCGCACGCCAUUACCAAAGACCAUAAUUAUUCCAAAUGUUGCCCCAAGGCUCGUCUCAGUCUCUUUGUCUCGGAUCUAGGCUCGGAUUCUUCAAAAAAACUCACUGGAUUCGCGUGGAUCUACCUUGGAAGGAAGCGAAUUCAAACUCAAGAAUCUCCUUCUUUGCUGUGCCAAUCACCACCAUUUCAAGGCUUACUGAUAGCGAACAAUUGAUAUUGGUGGUGAAAAAGGUGUAGUACCUAGAUGUUGAAGGUGUGGCAGAAUCGGUUUGAAGGCUGCUUAAUCGGUCUUGGCUACUGUAAUAAAUAAUGGGAAUUGGGACUGAAUGGAGUCGACAGGGAAGGCUUUCGAUGGGUAGUUUGCAAGUUUUUUUUUUUUUUUGGAAUUUUUCACAGUGGUGUCUAGUGGUUGAAAGUUUUAAGUUAGAGGUAAUGGGUAAUGAUGGUGGAGAUUGGUAAAAGGAAUUUGCUGGGAUUAGCCGAUCAGUGGAUGAUCUUUGCUCGAUUUUUUUUUUUCUGUUUUUGUUCUUGCCUACUGGUUGUGCAUGCUUGUUUUCUCCUCCCGCUCUUUGUUUUGCCGAUUGUUUCUUUUAUAAGAAUAAAUCCCAUUUCAAUUUGGACCAAUUUUACUACUCAUCAGAUCUUUUGUGAUUUUCCCAUUUUCAUGAAGAUUGGGAUCAAAGAAAUUCCAAAAUUAUUAAAUUAUUAAGUUUCAAAAUCAAUCUGAAUC